GCAUAUCAAUAAGCGGAGGAAAAGAAACCAACAGGGAUUGCCCUAGUAACGGCGAGUGAAGCGGCAACAGCUCAAAUUUGAAAUCUGGCUUCGGCCCGAGUUGUAAUUUGUAGAGGAUGCUUUUGGCGCGGUGCCUUCUGAGUUCCCUGGAACGGGACGCCAUAGAGGGUGAGAGCCCCGUAUAGUUGGACACCAAGCCUUUGUAAAGCUCCUUCGACGAGUCGAGUAGUUUGGGAAUGCUGCUCAAAAUGGGAGGUAAAUUUCUUCUAAAGCUAAAUACCGGCCAGAGACCGAUAGCGCACAAGUAGAGUGAUCGAAAGAUGAAAAGCACUUUGAAAAGAGGGUUAAAUAGCACGUGAAAUUGUUGAAAGGGAAGCGCUUAUGACCAGACUUGUUCCCGGUUGAUCAUCCAGUGUUCUCACUGGUGCACUCUGCCGGGGUCAGGCCAGCGUCGGUUCUCGCAGGGGGAUAAAAGCUUCGGGAACGUGGCUCCUCCGGGAGUGUUAUAGCCCGUUGCACAAUACCCUUGUGGGGACCGAGGUUCGCGCUCUGCAAGGACGCUGGCGUAAUGGUCAUCAGCGACCCGUCUUGAAACACGGACCAAGGAGUCGAGGUUUUGCGCGAGUGUUUGGGUGUAAAACCCGCACGCGUAAUGAAAGUGAACGUAGGUGAGAGCUUCGGCGCAUCAUCGACCGAUCCUGAUGUAUUCGGAUGGAUUUGAGUAAGAGCGUAUAGCCUCGGACCCGAAAGAUGGUGAACUAUGCCUGUAUAGGGUGAAGCCAGAGGAAACUCUGGUGGAGGCUCGCAGCGGUUCUGACGUGCAAAUCGAUCGUCAAAUAUGGGCAUGGGGGCGAAAGACUAAUCGAACCAUCUAGUAGCUGGUUACCGCCGA
rnacentral:rRNA from 1 species